rnacentral:rRNA from 1 species
AUUGAACGCUGGCUGCAGGCCUAACACAUGCAAGUCGAACGAGUGGCGGACGGGUGAGUAAUGUCUGGGAAACUGCCCGAUGGAGGGGGAUAACUACUGGAAACGGUAGCUAAUACCGCAUACCAUCGGAUGUGCCCAGAUGGCAGUAGCUAGUAGGUGGGGUAACGGCUCACCUGUGCGCCGAUCCCUAGCUGGUCUGAGAGUAUGACCAGCCACACUGGAAAUGAGACACGGUCCAGACUCCUACGGGAGGCAGCAGUGGGGAAUAUUGCACAAUGGGCGCAAGCCUGAUGCAGCCAUGCCGAGUGUAUGAAGAAGGCCUUCGGGUUGUAAAGUACUUUCAGCGAGGAGGCGGUACUCGCAGAAGAAGAACCGGCUAACUCCGUGCCAGCAGCCGCGGGAAUAC